CCUACGGGUGGCAGCAGUGAGGAAUAUUGGUCAAUGGGCGGAAGCCUGAACCAGCCAAGUAGCGUGCAGGAUGACGGCCCUACGGGUUGUAAACUGCUUUUAUACGGGAAUAACGCGCCUUACGUGUAGGGCUUUGCAUGUACCGUAUGAAUAAGGACCGGCUAAUUCCGUGCCAGCAGCCGCGGUAAUACGGAGGAUGCGAGCGUUAUCCGGAUUUAUUGGGUUUAAAGGGUGCGCAGGCGGAGGUGCCAGUCCGCGGUCAAAUUUCGGGGCUCAACCCCGUACUGCCGUUGACACUGCAACCCUUGAGUGCGGUAGAGGUAGGCGGAAUGCGUGGUGUAGCGGUGAAAUGCAUAGAUAGCACGCAGAACUCCGAUUGCGAAGGCAGCAUACCGGAGCGCAACUGACGCUCAUGCACGAAAGCGUGGGUAUCGAACAGGAUUAGAUACCCGGGUAGUC
rnacentral:rRNA from 1 species